rnacentral:rRNA from 1 species
UGAACGCUAGCGGCAGGCCUAACACAUGCAAGUCGAGGGGUAACGAUGGCUUCGGCCAGGCGACGACCGGCGAACGGGUGAGUUCCGCGUUUGUAACCUACCUCUAACUGGAGCAUAGCUCCCGGAAACGGGAAUUAAUUCUCCAUAAUAUUUAAACAUGGCAUCAUGUUUUCAUUAAAGCUCAGGCGGUUAGAGAUGGGCAUGCGUGACAUUAGCUUGUUGGUAAGGUAACGGCUUACCAAGGCUACGAUGUCUCGGGGGUCUGAGAGGAUGAUCCCCCACACUGGUACUGAGACACGGACCAGACUCCUACGGGAGGCAGCAGUGAGGAAUAUUGGGCAAUGGACGCAAGUCUGACCCAGCCAUGCCGCGUGCAGGAUGACAGCUCUAUGAGUUGUAAACUGCUUUUAUACAGGAAGAAAUCCUCCGACGUGUCGGGGGUUGACGGUACUGUACGAAUAAGCAUCGGCUAACUCC